AAUAACUUCCUUUCACUUCCUCCCAACAGUUGACUUUCUUGCCAUCAAUCUCUAUAAUUUUCACUCAUACAGAUAUUUGAAGAUUGAAGCUGCAUAUUCGACUGCUUGAGUUUGGUGCGGCUAUCUUUCAUAUUAUUUGAAGAUCAAAUCAAAACUUGAGAGCAUGAGUGGAAGGCUACAUGUGGAAGUAUGAAUUUAUUAUCUCCAAUAAUGGCAUCAAGAAUUUGGUGUGCGUUAAGUUAAUCAUGUAAGUAUUUGAAUCUUUCUGUAAUUGUUGCUUGUGAUUUAAUAAAUAA